GGCAAGGUAGCUCAGCUGGUGAGAGCGCACGGCUCAUACCCGUGAGGUCGAGAGUUCGAAUCUCUCCCUUGCUA
rfam:Clostridium sp. CAG:768 genomic scaffold, scf24